UUGGGUAGCUAUGACAUAUGGUUAGAUGUCAAUCAUAGCUUGUGAGUUCUUCUAGAUGAUUAAAUGUAGCCACCAAAGAAGAAUGGUGAAUUGAAAUGAAGUUUCAAUUCAAUAAGUGAUUGAAUUAAUUGGAUUGGUUCCGAUCACCUCACUGCCUUGCUAAUUAGAACCUAAAAGAUUGUUCACCGAUACACUAUUGUAGUGAGUAACUAAUGGAUGAUGGAAAUGAUUAAUUGGAUUAAUUAAUUGUUGUGAUUAAUUUAGAAAGUCUAAAGAAAUCAUAAAAGCGAUAAAGAU
rnacentral:lncRNA from 1 species